UGCCCCUUUAAUGAAACCUAUUUUUGUGACUUCUGAUCCUGAGUGCUAGUUUGGGGAGGAAAACUUGGUUUAGUGUUCAUUGUGUCAUUUUCUCAUAAAGGAAUCAAUAUUAUAGACAAAAAUGAUAAUGAAUCUAUCCAAACAUCCUCAUAGUUAAAAAUGAUAUUCAAGAAAUUAAUAGAAUAAAACAUAAAACGAUGAAAUCUAAAAAACCUUAUUAUCCACUACAUACUUCACAUGAUCUAUUAUUUGAAGAACACCAUAAACAUACACUAGCGAAGGUAUAUAUGAGUGGAAUAUUGAUGGAAGUUCAAAAUAUGAAAUAAUGAAUUUAUUUCAAGAAAUGGGAAUGCCCGCUAUAUCAUUUAAAGCUAGAUGUCAUUUUGAUAAGCAAGCUUGUAUUAUGCUAGUAACUGGAUUUAAUGGAGCAUUAAUAUAUUGGUGGCCAGACAGAAUUACGCAAAAUUCAAUAAUUAACCAUGUUGAAAAAAAGAGAAGAAGACAAAGAUGGUUUUUAUGAAGAAGUAGAAAAUCAAAAUACAAUAUAAGGAUUAAUACAUACUUUAACAAUGCAUUUUAUUGGUAACUAGAUUUGGACCCGCGCGUUGCAACGGGCUUUGUUUAAUAUUUGAAUUUAACAGAAAAAAUAUAAAAAAUAUUUUGUUAUAGUUUUAUAAUUUUUUUUCAUGUGUUAUGUAAGAUGUAUUUUAUAAUUAAAAUUCAUUUUUACACAUAAGUUUCAGUUAGUAUUUGGUUUUUAUAAUCAUGGUGUAUAGACUAACGGUUAUCAUCUUGUACUUAGAGUUAAAAAAAACAUCCAUACCUAAAAAAGAAUUUGGAAGUUAAAUAAGGCUAAGAAGCAAUGACAACAUUAUACACUUUCUUAUGUACUAAUUUAAUGUUUUAUUAAACUUAUCCAAUGUUAAAUCAUUUUUUUGAUUCAUUAUUUAUUAAUGAUAUAUUUUCAUAAUAACAUUUUGACUAAAAUGAAUUAGAAAUUACUAAAUAAUAAAACUAAAAAAUCUAAUAAGAUAUCGCUGAAGCUUGAUUUGUUUUUGACUAAACAUAUGUACGGUUGACAAUAAUAAUAAUCAAAUUUUAUGAGCAAACAUGAACAUAUAUAUAUCAAACAUGUGUUUGAUUUUCGUAUGACCAAACACAUAAAUACCAAUCGUGACAACAUCCUAAUUUCUUAUUUUUGUUAAUUUAAUAGCUUUAGUACUUGUCAUCAACUUUUUUUUCCGAAAACUAUUAUUAAAUAGGUAAUUUUAUUUUUAUUAGGAUUUUUUAAAAAAGAAAAAAAAUAUAUUUUACAAAUCUCAUUUUUACUUACGAUUAAAAAAAGGAAACAAUACUAUUAAACAAUUUUUUAUUUUUUUAAUAAUUUAAAAAAAGGAAAAAGUGUUAUCAUAUAAACUUUUACAAUUAUCUUAUAUUUAGAAUUUCAAAAAAAAUAUAAUUGCUAUCAAAUAAUAAUUUUUAGUUACUAUAAAAUAAUUUUUAAAUUAUGAUUUUUACAAUUCAUCAAUACUAUUUUCACACUUCGUUUUUAAUUAAAUAACUUUUGGUAUCAUGUUCAUCAUCAAAUUCUCUCUUAAAAUAUACUAUCAAAUAACUUCUUACAAUUUUCUUUUGGUUAUGACUUAAAAAAUCUGAUACAAAUCUCUUUUUUUUUACGAUUUUUUUAAAAGAAAACAACAAAUUUUUUUUAGGGCGUUAAAAAAGAAAACUAAAAUUACAUUGUCUUUUAUAACUAUAUUUUUUCUAGGAUUUAUAAAAUAAAAUUACUAUCAAAUGUUAACUAUUUUUAAAUGUUGCUAUUUUCAACAAUGACUCUCGGACAACAAUGACUCUCGGACAAGUUAAGCUUCUCGUUCUGGCCGGAUCAUAGAUUCCCUAGUAGCCGACAACCCAUCAAUCUACAAAGCGAUCCUAGGAACGCCUUGGAUAAAUUCCAUGGGAGCCAUCCCAUUUACUAAUCACCUCUGAAUCAAAUUCCCGACUCCAAUGGGUGUCGAAAUGAUUUGGGGCGGUCAGAAACAGUCGCGUCUUUUCUUCUUAGCCGAGCAUAAGCUAUGGAAGGUCGAAAAUCAACCAAUGGUAAACUCCAAACAUACAAAAACCAUGAUCGUCCAACCCAUGGUCAAGACGCUUCGAAAAAACUGACGUCAAUUCAGGCACCAAGUUUAGACAAAGGAAGCGAACAAACUUCCAAACCUGAUGCUCCCAACGACCCGGUCGACUCAACACGGGAAAAAGCCAUUAAUCCAGUAGCACUCGAUACUAUUAAAAUGGCACAACCCUGCCAAGCAAAUAAUCACUCACGGUGAGCACAAUGAACUACAUGAUGGUUUGAUCCUCGAAAGAAGUACGUUGCCAGCCUGUCGUGACAUUUUCAGCUGUCCCCUUUGCAAAACAUUGUUGGGGGGAGGGGAAGGGGGGGGGGGGGGGGGGGGGAGUGGGUACGUAUAUGUAUGCUCGUAUACUACGUUUUAAAUAUCAGCUUUUGUAUUUGAUAUUUUUUUAAAAAUUCGGCAAUACGAUAACACAUUUUUCACAUAUUUAGCCAACUCUCGCAAAAAAAUAGUUUGCCAAAAUACUUAAGCGAAAAACCGUUAACACGAUUCAUCGAUCAAAACAAGUUUCGGUCUAAGCUUCAAACGACAUUCAAAGACCCCACACGGUAUACGAAAAUCCUCACACACAAAUAAAACUAAAGUCACUAUAAUGGUUUUUUUUUUCCUGUUCUUGGGAGAUCAAACUAUUUUCAAAAGAACAUGCUUCUUCCUUAUAACAAACUCAUACAACCUCUGAGUCAAAACUCUGUUGAUCGCAAUUCAAAGUUUAAAAAAAAUUCUCCAAUUCCUCCCCAAUGUUUAGACGAGUUUCCUCACACAUCUAAGCCAACUCUUGCACAAGUACUUUGCCAAAAUUGUAACGACCCAGUUUUGUGAACCGAAGCUGGUUUAAGAUUUCUUUAAUUAUUUGAGAUUAAACCAAACAUUUUCCCAAACCAAGUCUUCUAUAUAUAUGAUCGUACAUAUCCUCUUCCCUAACUGAAAAGCCUUAGCCGUAAGAAACCAUCUCCAACUUUGGAGCAGGCAGUUUUGCUAUGGAGAAUACGCCAAGCGCAUGUUAGCGUUAUGGAUUUGUAAGACUAUCGAGGUUGGGAGUAUUGGAUAUCAUUAGUGUUGAGCAGGAUAGUUUUGAGCAGGAUAUAUCUAUAACGAAACUGAGUUGUGUGUUGGACGAUAAGCUGUUAAAAAAAGGGAUCUUAUAGCAAAUACAUCACUUGUGUUUCUCUACCCAUCGGGAACACCAAGGGGUACAAAGAUAUGAAGUGUUUACUAUAAUUGAUCUAGUAUGAAGGGAGUUGUAGCUUCAUUGCGUCACAGUGUCAGACAUGUCAGAUGGCUAUGUCAGAGGAUCAGUUAUCUAUCAUGUUAUUUUUGAGUUUGCUUUUACCGGACUGGAAAUGAGGCAUGGUGAUUAUGGACGUUGUUAUUGGAUUUUUAAAUCACCAUAUGUGGAAAGGAUGACACAUGGGUAGUCAUGGAUAGACUUUCCAAGUCAGCCCAUUUCCUUAGUAAUUAAGAAGACAGUUUGAGCUAAUCAGUUUGAGUAGACCUACAUUAUUGAGUUUUGGAGGUUUCAUGGAUGUCAACAUUGUAUCAGAUUGGGAUUCGAAGUUCACUACAUUUUUGGAGUCAUUCAGAAGAAACUUGGGACAAAGAUCCACAGGAAUACAACUUAUUAUCAGCAUAUAUAUGGUUAGUCAAAGAGAACUAUUCAGGCUUAAAGGACAUGCUCAGAUUUGCAUUUUACAGUGGAAUGGAAGAUCGAAAAGCAUUACAUCUAGCAGAGUUUUGCCUACAUCGACAACUAUCGUCCGAGCAUUGAGAUGACACCGUAUGAGGCUAUUUAUGGUAGGUCUCGUCGUAUACCACUUUUUUGGACCAAAGUGAGGGAGUGACAAGAGUUAGAACUAGUAAUGGUUCAAGAUGGUAUAGCAAAUGACAUGCUCAAGGAUUGGUUUGGGGAAGCCCAUGACGGCAGAGGAUUUAUGUAGCUAAGCGCCGUAAGGAUUUAGAGUUACAUAUGGGCGAUCUAGUAUAUUUGAAAAUGAGGACAUUUCAGGAGGAUCUAAGACUCGGAAACAAAAAAAAUGUUGUCUACAUCUAUUCAGCCAGUUGAGAUUUUGGAUCGGCAAGUGAAAGCGGUCCAGGGGACAAUGACUAUGUUUGUCAAAGUUCGUUUCGAGAAAAAAAAAAAAGACAGAAUCCAGGAAGAGACCUGAGAACCCAAGACUCAUAUGAAAAUUGAUUUAUUCAGAUGAAGUAUUGGACAGUCGGCUUAUUAUUUGAAUUCGAGAACGAAUUCCUUAUUAGUGGAGGAGAAUUGUAACGAUCCAGUUUUGUGAACCGAAGCUGGUUUAAGAUUUCUUUAAUUAUUUGAGAUUAAACCAAACAUUUUCCCAAACCAAGUCUUAUUAUAUAUGAUCGUACAUAUCCUCUUCCCUAAUUGAAAAGCCCUAGCCGUAAGAAACCAUCUCCAUCUUCACGAUCUCUCACUCUUUGGUUGCAGCCAUGUAAGAGGAUCUCUGCCAUUGUUGACGCAUCACCACCGUAUCUCUUCUCUGUUGUUAAUAGCUUAACAUCUCUAUGAAUCAAUCUCUACCGAAGAACACAGAUGUAAUCACCAUAUUGGAGCUAGUUGGCUACGUUACAAGACGGAGAGAGAAUGUGACCAUAAGCCGGCGCCACCGCCAUGAUCAUCACCAACCACCACGGAGUUGUGCCCCUGUGAACCUAAACCCACCACACGUGUGACCUAUAGCACAAGAGAUACUUUUGCGCAGCAGAGAUUUCUUCAUGUCUUAAGCUGAGGAGAAGAGAUGGAUACAUCAGACCCAUGGCUGAGGAGUGGUUUUGCGAGAGGUUUCUAGUACGAUCCAGGGGGUUCUAGGCAACGAGUCAUGGCUCUUUGGAUAGAUCUCGUUUCCAGGAAUCUGUAGAAACAAACGGAAUUAAGAUCGGAGUUGUACAGCAAAAGUUAUUGACAUGCUUCUUGGACAAGAAUAAGCUUAAGCUGUUGGAAUGCUGAAACAGUUCCGACCAGUGUCAGAGUAAAGGCGCAACGGUCAACCUUAACAAAAGCUUUCAGUCUGAGAAUUUUACAGUAAGUAGUUAACUAUUUCAGUUAUAAUCUCCAACAAACGGUUUGUCAUUCCAAGUUAUUUUCUGAGAGUUAAGCUUGUUUUCGUGAGAGGUGUUGGUGCAGUCUACGUUUGCGACCAGUCUGGAGACGAAGCUAAUUUGAUUAAUCAGAGGGUGUCCGAUCGGAGUACACCCGGUCGCUACGGAUAGAGGACAUCCAGGGCUACAUUCUUACCGGAUGGAUUGAAAAUAUAACGGUCAGUUAUUGAGUUAUGCAUAUGUUUUCUCUAGGGUUUAGGUCUGGCAGAAUCAUCGUACUCAUUUAUUUUCAGACUUUUGGAGUUGCUGUGAUAGAGCCAUCAAGGUCUACUCUGUGUUUCUCAGGUUUUCUUUAGAACCCGUGGCAAAGGUGAGGGUCUAUUCCAUAAAUCCUGUACCAGUGUAAAAUUCUCCCUAUCGUAGUUUAGAUUUCGAAUCAUGAUCCGUCGGUUUGAAUUGAGUCUGUUCGAGUCUUGAUUGUUAGUUAGUUCAUUUUUUGUAAACUGGAACUAGGGGUCUAGAGGAUUCAACCUUUGAUUGGAUUGUGUGAUGUUAAGAAAUGUGAUAUAUAUAUGUAUGUACACAUAGUUAUGAGUAGGGACUAUGUACGCGGACAGGGCUCAGAGAUGUCUGGGCUAGCGAUGCUACUUUGAUUGUGCGGGCAGAGGUUCAGAGACGUCUGGACUUGCGAUGCUACUUGUGCGGGCGUGUGGUGCAUAUGCGUUUCUACCAUGGACGCUACUUGAGAGGGCGGGGGUACAGAGACAGACUGUACUAGCGACGCUACGUAUUAUAUAUUCAUAUGAGGAGAUGCGAGAUGUAUGGACUAGCUAUAUGCUAUUAUCGCAUUGUUUGGUUUGUGUGACGCGAUAAGCGUCGUGUGUAUUCAUGUUAGAGCUAAACUUCCAUAGUGGAGUUCUAUUUACUCAAGUCAGUGGUUUGCGUGUUUAGCAUCCCAUACCUCACGGAGUAACUCCCCUGUUACUCACCCCUCGUGUUCUUUCCCCUUUCAGGUGAGACUGACGAGCAGGAGUGAUUGCUAUCGGACUGGUGCUUUGCGAGUUUUAUUUCCUUUUUUAUUUCAAAUUUGUGGUUUUAUGCUUUUAUCGAUAUUUUUGAGAUUUAUUAUAUUAUUUAGAUUUUAUGGUUAUUUAUUGGAUUUAUGACUUUGAAAUUGGCUUUUAAAAAGUAAUAAAUGGAGAUUUUAAACUUUUUAUUUAUUUAAAUUAUUUCAGAAAAUAAGGGUGUUACAAAAAUCUUCAAGUGGCAAACCAUUAAUACGUUCCACCGAUCAAAACUAGUUUUGGUCAAAGCUCCAAACGAUUUCAAAUACCCCCACACGUGGUAUACGUAAAUCCUUACACACAAAUAAAUCUCGGGAGAUCAAAUAUAAGCAAGACAAAUGUAUACGACCUCUUGGUCGAAACUCUGUUGAUUGCAACGCAACAUAUGCUCCAACGGAGAAACUCCCCCAAGAAAACUGUCUAAAACUUGGAGGAUGUCUUUGAAUUUGGGUUUAAAACUUGGGUUUAAAACUUGGGUUUGCUCGAAGAAACGUUCGUCCAAGAAAAAUGCAAGACAUCGUAUAUUUUUAGGAAAUAAACUUUCGACCGUAAAUCACCUCCUCGAUGAAUGUUCCAUCUUGGAGAAAUCCACAAAACAGUUGUCACGGACUAUAAUUAGAAAGAAAAAUAAUUGAGUUGGAAAGACAAGUACUUGCCUUACCCUGUCCGUCGAUUGGUUCUAACAGAAAAACUUUAUUUUCUAAAUAAACUCCUAACUGAUUCCCCCAUAGAGAUGGUUCUCGUACUUUUUCGACACGAGGAUAAUUAGCAUGCCAUAAAAUAAAUCUAAAUUUUUAUCAAUACCUUCUGGAUUUUUCCUAGAGGGGUGCUAGGUUCCACCACUGAAGCAAGUCAUUUAAGCCGGGAAUAUUAUCGGUAGACUUCAGAGUCGAGGUGGAAACCAGGUCGACAUUGCAACGGGUUAUGUAAGACGGGAUCGACCCCACAUACUCCAAACUCGAAAUUAGGCUUAGGUCUUGCCUUAUCACUGACGAAACACUCAUAGGAAUAGUAUCUUGAUGCGAGAUACAAGAACAUGUCUCUUCGUUGGUAUUUACAAAUACCUCUCCUCUCUCACUCUCUCUUGAUAUUUUUUCACCAGAUUGGGUUUCUGUGUAACUUUUAUUGUCUUUUGUGUGCAUGUACGAUCCAGUUUCCUGAGACUAUAUAACCGAGACGAUGUUGAUUUGUUUGGCAUCAUGAUGCCGCGGCCAAAUUCGGAGUUGAACGUUGGGGUAUGAUGUGGUCAAUAUAUUAGAGAGCAUUGGGAAGAAGGUUUGAGAGAGGGUUUUGGUGUAUCUGCAGCAGUUCUCACCAGACAUGCAGAAGCGUGUGUCAUCUGAACGAUAUGCAGAACUGACCAUGCUGCAUCUCAUAACUUAAAAGAAGCUUGGAUUU